rnacentral:rRNA from 1 species
CCUACGGGAGGCAGCAGUGGGGAAUUUUGGACAAUGGGCGCAAGCCUGAUCCAGCCAUGCCGCGUGCGGGAAGAAGGCCUUCGGGUUGUAAACCGCUUUCGGCCGGAACGAAAUCGCCCGGGUGAAUAUCCCGGGUGGAUGACGGUACCGGAAGAAGAGGCACCGGCUAACUACGUGCCAGCAGCCGCGGUAAUACGUAGGGUGCGAGCGUUAAUCGGAAUUACUGGGCGUAAAGCGUGCGCAGGCGGUCUCGUAAGACAGGUGUGAAAUCCCCGGGCUCAACCUGGGAACUGCGCUUGUGACUGCGAGGCUGGAGUGUGGCAGAGGGAGGUGGAAUUCCACGUGUAGCAGUGAAAUGCGUAGAGAUGUGGAGGAACACCGAUGGCGAAGGCAGCCUCCUGGGCCAGCACUGACGCUCAUGCACGAAAGCGUGGGGGGCAAACAGGAUUAGAUACCCUGGUAGCCCACGCCCUAAACGAUGACGACUAGUUGUUGGGGUAGAAGUACCUUAGUAACGCAGCUAACGCGUGAAGUCGUCCGCCUGGGGAGUACGGUCGCAAGAUUAAAACUCAAAGGAAUUGACGG